rnacentral:misc_RNA from 1 species
CCAAAUUUGAACUUUUCUUUGUGGGGAAGGAUCUUAUUGUUUGUGGCGAAGGAUCUUAGGAUAUGAUUCCUAUUUAAUCUAUCAUCAGUUUGUUGCGUGACCAUUACAGUACCUGUUAAUUUACAGGCAAUAUCUAGAGCUUAUUCAAGAAAUCGUUGAAGUUGUGAUAGGAAAAAUGAGAAAAUCAAGUUCAGUAUCUGGCGCUGCAAAGAAUUUUGUUGGGAUGAGUUCACGUAUGGUGGAAAUGACUAUGCAUUUAGACAUGGGGCAGUUGGAUGAUGUUCACUUUGUG